CCUGAGGGAGGGUAGAUGAGGUUUUUACCUCUGUCCACAGUAUACAGCCUAGAACCUCAAACUGCCACACCUAACUAAUCUGCCUGUCUUCAAGUCUGAGGGUAAGGAGGGAUGCCUCCAGAUACUUG